UCCAGGCCAAUGGGUCUUACCUUGUGAGGUGCCAUGGACAUGGGGCCUGUGGGCUGUUGCUGCUCAGCCCCCCUGGAUUCAGCCUCUUUUCUAGGAGUAUGUGAAGGAACUCAACCUUCCACUUUGCCAGAGCUGCAGCUACUUUUGCCAGAAAGCCCAAGUAUCUAAGGCUCCAGGGUCUCCAUACAUGUACAAGCAGCUGCUCUGCCAUGACUCCACGUAGCUCUGUCUGUCAGACUGAAGACUGAAUGCCCUGGUGGAGUGGGUUCACAAGGAGAUCACCUGACCUGAGGGUUGCAAAGAUCUAUGGGAGAAGUGUGGUUUUGUCACUCAUUCACUCGCCACUUCCCUGGGCAGAGAAGGAUCCCCAGGCUCCAUGAUGCUCCCAGGUACAACAUAAGUUCCACAGGGCAGCAGAGAUGUCGCCUGCGGUCUAUUGCUGCACAAGGGAACUAGAACAGUACUUGAAAGAAAAGAGGUGCUCGAUAAAUGUUAUGGAAUGAAUAAAUGUAUCCCCUCUUGAGGGUGCAGAGCUAUAGAAUGUGCUAAUCUCUUCUCACGUGAAAUGACUCCCUUGAUUAUUCCGAUUUCAUUGACUCUAAGUAGAAGGCAAACCCUGUGGUAUCAAUUUACAAAGGGAAAUGAAGAAGAUGCAGUACAUUUAGGUGAAAACAAAAUAAACGUCAGUUUCUCCAAAUUUGUGUGCUUAGUCAGAUCUAAAUAUAUUGAUGUAGUGUAAAUACUGAAUAUUGAAAUAUUAACCUAAAUAAGCAUUUAUUAUUGGUAACAG
rnacentral:lncRNA from 1 species